AUUGAACGCUGGCGGCAGGCCUAACACAUGCAAGUCGAGCGGAGCGGCGGACGGGUGAGUAAUGCCUAGGAAUCUGCCUGGUAGUGGGGGAUAACGUCCGGAAACGGGCGCUACUACCGCAUACUAUCAGAUGAGCCUCGGUCGGAUUAGCUAGUUGGUGGGGUAAAGGCCUAACAAGGAGAAGAUCCGUAACUGGUCUGAGAGGAUGAUCAGUCAAACUGGAACGGAGACACGGGCAAGACUCCUACGGGAGGCAGCAGUGGGGAAGAUUGGAAAAUGGGAGAAAGCCUGAUCCAGCGAUGCCGCGGGUGGGAAGAAGGUCUUCGGAUUGUAAAGCACUUUAAGUUGGGAGGCGUUACCAACAGAAUAAGCACCGGCUAACUUCGUGCCAGCCGCCGCGGUAAUAC
rnacentral:rRNA from 1 species